UCAAGUGACUAAGUGCAUGUGGUGGAUGCCUUGGCGAUUACAGGCGACGAAGGACGUGAUAGCCUGCGAUAAGCUUCGGGGAGCUGGCAAAUUAGCUUUGAUCCGGAGAUUUCCGAAUGGGGAAACCCACCCUUAGGGGUAUCGCAUAGUGAAUACAUAGCUAUGCGAGGCGAACCGGGUGAACUGAAACAUCUCAGUAGCUCGAGGAAAAGACAUCAACCGAGAUUCCGAAAGUAGUGGCGAGCGAAAUCGGAACAGCCUAGUGCGUUUUAACCAUCGACUUAUCAGAACGGAAUGGAAAGUCCGGCCAUAGCGGGUGAUAGCCCCGUAUGAAAAAAGUCAGUGGCGGAACUAAGCGCACGAUAAGUAGGGCGGGACACGUGACAUCCUGUCUGAAGAUGGGGGGACCAUCCUCCAAGGCUAAAUACUCGUAAUCGACCGAUAGUGAACUAGUACCGUGAGGGAAAGGCGAAAAGAACCCCGGGAGGGGAGUGAAAUAGAUCCUGAAACCGCAUGCAUACAAACAGUCGGAGCCCGCAAGGGUGACGGCGUACCUUUUGUAUAAUGGGUCAGCGACUUACAUUCAGUGGCAAGGUUAACCGAAUAGGGAAGCCGUAGAGAAAUCGAGUCCGAAUAGGGCGUUCAGUCGCUGGGUGUAGACCCGAAACCAAGUGAUCUAUCCAUGGCCAGGAUGAAGGUGAGGUAACACUUACUGGAGGUCCGAACCGACUAGUGUUGCAAAACUAGCGGAUGAGCUGUGGAUAGGGGUGAAAGGCUAAACAAACUUGGAAAUAGCUGGUUCUCUCCGAAAACUAUUUAGGUAGUGCCUCAAGUAUUACCGUCGGGGGUAGAGCACUGUUAUGGCUAGGGGGUCAUGGCGACUUACCAAACCAUUGCAAACUCCGAAUACCGAUGAGUACAGCUUGGGAGACAGUGCACCGGGUGCUAACGUCCGGACACAAGAGGGAAACAACCCAGACCGCCAGCUAAGGUCCCCAAAAUUGGCUAAGUGGGAAACGAAGUGGGAAGGCUAAAACAGUCAGGAUGUUGGCUUAGAAGCAGCCAUCAUUUAAAGAAAGCGUAAUAGCUCACUGAUCGAGUCGUCCUGCGCGGAAGAUGUAACGGGGCUAAGCCAGUUACCGAAGCUGCGGAUGUGCGCGCAAGCGUACGUGGUAGGAGAGCGUUCUGUAAGCCUGUGAAGGUGGGUUGUGAAGCCUGCUGGAGGUAUCAGAAGUGCGAAUGCUGACAUGAGUAGCGUUAAAGGGGGUGAAAAGCCCCCUCGCCGAAAGCGCAAGGUUUCCUACGCAACGUUCAUCGGCGUAGGGUGAGUCGGCCCCUAAGGCGAGGCAGAGAUGCGUAGCUGAUGGGAAACAGGUCAAUAUUCCUGUACCGAUAUGUAGUGCGAUGUGGGGACGGAGAAGGUUAGCUCAGCCGGGUGUUGGAUGUCCCGGUUCAAGCGUGUAGUCGUGCCGCCUAGGCAAAUCCGGGCGGCUUAGAUGAGGCGUGAUAACGAGGCGGCUUGCCGCUGAAGUGAGUGAUACCCUGCUUCCAGGAAAAGCCACUAAGCUCCAGCUACAUACGACCGUACCGCAAACCGACACUGGUGCGCGAGAUGAGUAUUCUAAGGCGCUUGAGAGAACUCUGGAGAAGGAACUCGGCAAAUUGACACCGUAACUUCGGAAGAAGGUGUGCCUUUAGUAGGUGAAGUCGUACAGAUGGAGCCCAAUGAGGCCGCAGAGAAUCGGUGGCUGCGACUGUUUAUUAAAAACACAGCACUCUGCAAAGACGAAAGUCGACGUAUAGGGUGUGACGCCUGCCCGGUGCUGGAAGAUUAAAUGAUGGGGUGCAAGCUCUUGACUGAAGUCCCAGUAAACGGCGGCCGUAACUAUAACGGUCCUAAGGUAGCGAAAUUCCUUGUCGGGUAAGUUCCGACCUGCACGAAUGGCGUAACGAUGGCCACACUGUCUCCUCCAGAGACUCAGCGAAGUUGAAAUGUUUGUGAUGAUGCAAUCUCCCCGCGGAAAGACGGAAAGACCCCAUGAACCUUUACUGUAGCUUUACAUUGGACUUUGAACAGAUCUGUGUAGGAUAGGUGGGAGGCUUUGAAGCGGUGCCGCUAGGUGUCGUGGAGCCAACGUUGAAAUACCACCCUGGUGUGUUUGAGGUUCUAACCUUGGCCCGUGAUCCGGGUUGGGGACAGUGUAUGGUGGGCAGUUUGACUGGGGCGGUCUCCUCCCAAAGCGUAACGGAGGAGUUCGAAGGUACGCUAGGCACGGUCGGAAAUCGUGCUGAUAGUGCAUUGGCAUAAGCGUGCUUGACUGCGAGACUGACAAGUCGAGCAGGUACGAAAGUAGGACAAAGUGAUCCGGUGGUUCUGUAUGGAAGGGCCAUCGCUCAACGGAUAAAAGGUACUCUGGGGAUAACAGGCUGAUACCGCCCAAGAGUUCAUAUCGACGGCGGUGUUUGGCACCUCGAUGUCGGCUCAUCUCAUCCUGGGGCUGUAGCCGGUCCCAAGGGUAUGGCUGUUCGCCAUUUAAAGAGGUACGUGAGCUGGGUUUAAAACGUCGUGAGACAGUUUGGUCCCUAUCUUCCGUGGGCGCUGCAAGAUUGAGAGAGCCUGCUCCUAGUACGAGAGGACCGGAGUGGACGCACCUCUGGUGUAUCGGUUGUCACGCCCGUGGCAUUGCCGAGUAGCUAAGUGCGGAAGAGAUAACCGCUGAAAGCAUCUAAGCGGGAAACUCGUCUCAAGAUGAGUCUUGCCGGGGCCUUGAGCCCCCUGAAGAGUCGUUCGAGACCAGGACGUUGAUAGGCCGGGUGUGGAAGCGCAGUAAUGCGUUAAGCUAACCGGUACUAAUUGCUCGUGAGGCUUGACCCU
rnacentral:rRNA from 1 species